rnacentral:rRNA from 1 species
GGGUCAGCGACUUAUAUUCUGUAGCAAGGUUAACCGAAUAGGGGAGCCGGAGGGAAACCGAGUCUUAACCGGGCGUUAAGUUGCAGGGUAUAGACCCGAAACCCGGUGAUCUAGCCAUGGGCAGGUUGAAGGUUGGGUAACACUAACUGGAGGACCGAACCGACUAAUGUUGAAAAAUUAGCGGAUGACCUGUGGCUGGGGGUGAAAGGCCAAUCAAACCGGGAGAUAGCUGGUUCUCCCCGAAAGCUAUUUAGGUAGCGCCUCGUGAAUUCAUCUCCGGGGGUAGAGCACUGUUUCGGCUAGGGGGCCAUCCCGGCUUACCAACCCGAUGCAAACUGCGAAUACCGGAGAAUGUUAUCACGGGAGACACACGGCGGGUGCUAACGUCCGUCGUGAAGAGGGAAACAACCCAGACCGCCAGCUAAGGUCCCAAAGUCAUGGUUAAGUGGGAAACGAUGUGGGAAGGCCCAGACAGCCAGGAUGUUGGCUUAGAAGCAGCCAUCAUUUAAAGAAAGCGUAAUAGCUCACUGGUCGAGUCGGCCUGCGCGGAAGAUGUAACGGGGCUAAACCAUGCACCGAAGCUGCGGCAGCGA